rfam:Myotis lucifugus cont2.1143, whole genome shotgun sequence.
GGCAGUUCUCGCACCCUGGAAUCAGGCUCCCUCCUCUUUGGUUCUGGGUGUGUCAUCCAAGGACCACA